UUUAAUUGUCAGUCUGCUACUACAACAAAUUUGGAGUCAUGUUAGGUGUGGUAUCAAGGUCAAGCAAAAUAUAUUUUAGACAGACAAGCAGUCUGCAAACAGUUGAGAGAUCUACAGAAUAUGGCAUUUAAAAUGUUUUAAUAAUAUAUGGUUGUUUUGUUUUGUUUUUAAGACAACGAAACAUGUCUCUUUUGUCAGCACCAAUCUACUUCAGAGAAGAUGGUUAGCAACAAUGAAACUCCACAUCGUGUUUACUUUUUUGUGGCAAAGCUAGCCACUGGGCAAGAUACUGCCCUUUCCUCAACUGCUGCCAGUAUACUGUCCAAAUUGAACAAGCAGGAAACAAAAGAAAAUGACAACUGAACUUUGCCAAGAUAAAGUGGGGCAGUCCUUCAAAAAUCCUGCUUUACAGAAAGGUGGAGCAGUGCGACCUUGAGGAUAUGGCCAUGGACUUUUCCUGAGAAGAAUGGAAGCUUCUGGAUGAGCACAGAGACUUCUGCACCAUGAUGCAAUGCUGGAUAACUUUGCCUUGCAGCCAGACUGAGUUUCUGGUUUCGAGUGGAAACUGAGGAGGCAUAUUUUCGAAGAGGAUCCAAAGUCAAGGUUACCACAGCUGAUUCAAUCAUCCAAAAAAAACUAACCUUGUGGGAUGUGUGGCAUAGUCAUGAAACAUCUUGUUCUGCAGGCUGAACAGCAGGGUUACAUUCCCAACACAGACUGCAUACGUGUGGGACAUGUGGAAGGCAAUUCUCCUUCAGGGUAAAAACCUCCCAACACCAACACAGUGGAAGGAAAGGUCUCAGUGAUGACAGGGACGAGGAUCCCUUUGUUAAGAACCACACAGUCUGCAGUGCAGAAAUCCCUUAGCUAUGUGAAGAGAGUAGGGGAAAACUCAGGCCUUCUCCAGCAUGAGAUCAGAAGGAGCUUACCUGUACACUAUGGAUGCUGGGGGCCCUCUCAGUGGAGGUGGACAUUGCAGAUGCAGUGAAUGUAAGAACCAUUCAGCCAGAAAAAUGGGCUUCCCGAGCACCAGAGUAUCCAGACUACAGAACGGCCCUAUAAGUGCCCUGAAUGUGAGAAACGUUCAUCAGACGGUGCCAUCAUGCCAGGGAUAAGAAAGCUCAAACUGGAACAAACUAUUUUAUUGCCACUAAUCUCAUAAUUCUUUUCUUUUAUUUUCAAGGCUUUUUAAAAUAUAAAUAUUACUUCAAAAUUAUAAGAUUAAUGCAUAUGUGUAUGUAUGUACAUAAAGUUUUGUAGG